rnacentral:misc_RNA from 1 species
AAGUCGUAACAAGGUUUCCGUAGGUGAACCUGCGGAAGGAUCAUUAACAAAUCAACAAACACCUUGGCAGAGGGACUAGGCGAGGGAUUGCCGCCGAGGGCUUGACUGUGGGACCAGAACGUGGGACGUUGGACGUGGCAUGUGGGAUCGUUGUCUGUGGGUGGGCGAGGGAUUAUCUGGGACGAGGGAUGAUCAAAGUUAAAUUUGGUCAAACACAAUACGAAUGCAUUAAGCAUAUACAACUAUUAACAAUGGAUCUCUAGGCUCUU